GGGGGACACAGUCAAGGACAGAACUUCAAAUCACAUCCCACAAAUGGAAGAAUCAAAUGAGUAUUUUUAGUCUAGGAAAGAGGAGACAUGAAGGGUGGGAAAAGGAGGAUGGAAGUUGGUUUGAUAUAGUAGAAAGCUUCAAAUAUCUGGGCUCUAUUAUGAAAAGGGAUUAUCCUAUUGUUUCUAUUUUUAAAUGAUCAACUGAUAUAAAUAAAUGGAAGUGACAGUUCGAUUUCACCUCUGUUUCACACACUCCAAGCUUUCCAGUGAUGCUCCUGGCUGCCACUGAGGGAGGGAGUUUCUCCUUUUCAAGGGUUUAAGAUGAAUGAAAAAUUUGUAGUGAUGGUGGUUAGACUAGAUAACAUUAAUAUUAUGCCAGACUACGAUGCUUUUAUUCUGUGAAUUAAAUCAGAUAGCUUCCUUGUGCCAAAUGUAUCCUUUGGAAAAAUGGACACAGAGAAUAUAUUUACAAGUAAAGCAUAGGAAAUAAACUCAAUAGCUUAAAAAUACAAAUCUGACUUAGUAAUUUGUCCAGCUUUUUAAAUCACCUGAAAAAGUUUUAAGACCUAUAAGUGUUCCAUUAUAUGAAAAAAAUUCCCAAUUUCUGAGGGCUGCAGGUGAGGCAUAUGGAAGUUCCCAGGCUAGGGGUUGAAUCGGAGCUACAGCUAGCUGCCGGCCUAUGCCAAGCCACAGCAACACCAUAUCUGAGCCCUGUGUCUGCAACCUACACCACAGCUCAUGGCAACACUGGAUCCUUAACCCACUGAGCAAGGCCAGGGAUCAAACCCUCAUCCUCACAGACACUAUGUUGGGUUCUUAACCCACCGAGCCACAAUGGGAACUCCUUCUCCCAGUUUUUGAUAUUAAUCUUCUAGUUCUAAUCACUGUAAAGGCUACUGACUCAUAUUUCCAGAAUUCCCUCAAUCUUUUCCCAGAUUUAAGUUAAAAAGAAAGGCUAAAGCGUUCUGCUUGAACAUCUCCUCUUAAUAUACAAAAAAAUUGUAGAUUGAAAAAGAUUAGUAUAGUACUCCAACUUUCUUUCAAAAGCUGAGAUUCCAUGCUGCCACCCUUUCUGUCAAUGUCAAAGGACCCACAUGUGUCCUGAAGGAAACUUUGUGUCAGGUAGAGACCCUGGGGAUUCUUUACAUCUUCCCAUAAGACCAAGUAAAAUGCUUCAAUUAAAGCAAUUGGUAUGCAAUAAAUGUUGACUGUCAGAUACAUAGUUUUCUGAAAACCUGGCAGAAGGUUGCUUUAGAAGAACUUGUCUCCGCACUAGCUUCUUCAGUUUUGAAGGUCCCAAAAGACUUUUAUAAAGGGAAAUAAAAGAUUAUUUAAAUAAACUAAUAUAUUAAUAAUCAUGCUACUAAUGGAGCUCAUAGGAUUAGAACUGUCCUACUUAAUUUGGAUUGCUUUUAAUAGAUGUGACUUUUCUAAUUUUCUGGAGAAUGGUUCUGUAUUUAACACAUUCAUCAACUGUGAUCAUCUUCUUCCCUUCAACUUUAGAUAAAAUUGCGCUAAUUCCCAUUCCACAUUCUAUUGAAAGUCUAAUGCCAGGCUUCAGAAAAAGGUAAGGUGGGAAUGUGUGUUUGGGAUGAGGAGGGUAGCAGCUUAUGUUUAUGCUACUUCCAAAUUCAUCUACAUCCAAACUCUUACUUCUGCUAGACUAACUCAGCGUGUGGUUCAUCUCAUGGUCUCUGCAAACUGUCAAGUCCUACACCUACCACAUGAGCAAUUUGGUCCCUUUCCUUUAUUUCUGUUGAAACACAAGGAGGAAACAAAGAAACAAAAAGGAGGGUUCAGCUAUCCUUUUAUGUAAAUAGACUUCACAGAAGUUUUUGGAAUAACAGAGGGGAUUUACAGAACACACACACACACAAACAUACAUACAUACACCCCUCGCAAAACUUAACAUUAGACAUCUCUCUUCUUCUAGUGUCCCUUUCCACCGAGUAGGUCCCAGCUCCUGAAAACUUCCCUGUGUCUCUUUUCUUUGUUUUCCUUCACCCACACAUUUCUUCUUACUUCUUAAAUAGAGAUUCUAGCAAUAUCAACAUUUAAAGGAGUUCCCAUCGUGGUGCAGAGGAAAUGAAUCUGACUAGGAACCAUGAGAUUGUGGAUUCGAUCCCUGGCCUUGCCCAGAGGGCUGGGGAUCUGGCGUUGCCAUGAGCUGUGGUAUAGGUUGCAGACGCAGCUCAGAUCUGGCAUUGAUGUGGCUGUGGUGUAGGCCGGCAGCUGUAGCUCCGAUUGGACUGCUAGCCUGGGAACCUCCAUAUGCCACAGGUGCAGCCCUCAAAAAGACAAAGGACCAAAAAAAAAAAAAAAUUUUUUUUUAAAUCUUACAGUCAUGUUUGGUAUUUCCUUUUCUUACAUCCCCUAUAACUAAACUGUCCCCAAAUCUAUUUUGUUCUCAGACAGCAUUCAGAAUGAACUUCUUUUCUUUCCUGCUACCUGUUCUCUAGUCCAAAUCCAUAGAUCAUCUGCAGCUUUUCUCUGUCCUCCUGCAAUGAACUAACCUGAUCAAACACAUGAAAAUACAUUUGCUCAGGUUCCAUUCUUGCUUAAAAGUUUUUCGUCAAUUCCUAACUUCCCACCCAGAGUUUUAAAUGGCCUCUUAUACCUAGACCAGCUCUGUAUUUUUCCGAGUUAAUGUCCUAACUCAGACCUCACAACUCACACAAAGCCUUACCAUCUUGCCUUUGUUCUUGAUGUAUGGCUGUAUAUCCUUUGUUUAUUCAAAUCCUACUCAUGUUUGAAGAUUCCCUUCCCAAUCCCAUCCCUACCUUAUAUAUUUCAAGCCUAAACU
rnacentral:lncRNA from 1 species